rnacentral:rRNA from 1 species
GAUUGAACGCUGGCGGCAUGCUUUCCACAUGCAAGUCGAACGGCAGCGCGGGCUUCGGCCUGGCGGCGAGUGGCGAACGGGUGAGUAAUACAUCGGAACGUGCCCAGUAGUGGGGGAUAGCUCGGCGAAAGCCGGAUUAAUACCGCAUACGACCUGAGGGUGAAAGCGGGGGAUCUUCGGACCUCGCGCUAUUGGAGCGGCCGAUGGCAGAUUAGCUAGUUGGUGGGGUAAAGGCCUACCAAGGCGACGAUCUGUAGCUGGUCUGAGAGGACGACCAGCCACACUGGGACUGAGACACGGCCCAGACUCCUACGGGAGGCAGCAGUGGGGAAUUUUGGACAAUGGGCGAAAGCCUGAUCCAGCAAUGCCGCGUGUGUGAUGAAGGCCUUCGGGUUGUAAAGCACUUUUGGCGGGAACGAAAAGGACUGUGCCAAUACCACGGUUCGAUGACGGUACCCGCAGAAUAAGCACCGGCUAACUACGUG